rnacentral:lncRNA from 1 species
CAAAGACCCCUGCCUGCUAAGUGCAGUUUUGUGUCUGGAGCCUCUCCGUGGACACACAGCCAGGAAUCACGUUCGAUUUGUUCUGCAGAAGGAGGAUCAGAUGGGAAGCAAGGCCUUUGAAGAUCACAGCCUGUUGCUGAGCAGCCUGCCCUCCUCCACCAUGAACUACUCCAGCUGGCUGAACAUGGAGUCACUCCUCGCCGUGCGGAGCCCAGCUGCAGGGCCUCGCGCGGGGGCAGCCUGUGCUCCGAGGGGCCUGGCCGC